rnacentral:rRNA from 1 species
AGAGUUUGAUCCUGGCUCAGGAUGAACGUUGGCAGUGUGCCUAAGACAUGCAAGUCGAACGAAGCGCUAGUGCGGAACUCUUCGGAGGGAAGGAUUAGUGACUGAGUGGCAAACGGGUGAGUAACACGUGGAUGACCUACCCUGAAGUGGGGGAUAACCUUGGGAAACCAGGACUAAUCCCGCAUGUGCUUGUUGGUUGUGACUAACAAGGAAAGAUUUAUCGCUUUAGGAUGGGUCCGCGAGCCAUCAGCUAGUUGGUGAGGUAAAGGCUCACCAAGGCAACGACGGCUAGCCGGCCUGAGAGGGUGAACGGCCACAGGGGUACUGAGACACGGACCCCACUCCUACGGGAGGCAGCAGUUAGGAAUCUUCCACAAUGGGCGCAAGCCUGAUGGAGCGACACUGCGUGAGGGAAGAAGGCUUUCGGGUUGUAAACCUCUAAAAGUAGGACGAUAAUGACGGUACUACUUGAGAAGCACCGGCUAACUCCGUGCCAGCAGCCGCGGUAAUACGGAGGGUGCAAACGUUAUCCGGAAUCACUGGGCGUAAAGGGCACGCAGGCGGUUAGUUAAGUCCGAUGUUAAAGCGUGGGGCUCAACCCCAUACGGGCGUUGGAUACUGGCUAACUAGACUCUUGGAGAGGUAAGUAGAAUUACCAGUGUAGCGGUGGAAUGCGUAGAUACUGGUAGGAAUACCAAUAGCGAA